AAUGAACGCUGGCGGCAGGCCUAACACAUGCAAGUCGAACGGAUCCUUCGGGAUUAGUGGCGGACGGGUGAGUAACGCGUGGGAACAUACCCAAAGGUACGGAAUAGCCUCGGGAAACUGGGAGUAAUACCGUAUGUGCUCGAAAGAGGAAAGAUUUAUCGCCUUUGGAUUGGCCCGCGUUGGAUUAGGUAGUUGGUGGGUAACGGCCUACCAAGCCGACGAUCCAUAGCUGGUUUGAGAGGAUGAUCAGCCACACUGGGACUGAGACACGGCCCAGACUCCUACGGGAGGCAGCAGUGGGGAAUCUUGGACAAUGGGGGAAACCCUGAUCUAGCCAUGCCGCGUGAUCGAUGAAGGCCUUAGGGUUGUAAAGAUCUUUCAGGUGGGAAGAUAAUGACUGUACCACCAGAAGAAGCCCCGGCUAACUCCGUGCCAGCAGCCGCGGUAA
rnacentral:rRNA from 1 species